rnacentral:rRNA from 1 species
UACGUAGGGGGCAAGCGUUGUCCGGAUUUAUUGGGCGUAAAGAGCGUGUAGGCGGCCUGAAAGGUCAGCUGUGAAAACUCGAGGCUCAACCUCGAGACGUCGGUUGAAACCAUCUGGCUAGAGUCCGGAAGAGGAGAGUGGAAUUCCCGGUGUAGCGGUGAAAUGCGCAGAUAUCGGGAAGAACACCCGUGGCGAAGGCGGCUCUCUGGGACGGUACUGACGCUGAGACGCGAGAGCGUGGGGAGCGAACAGG